AUUUCUAUUUACUUGAUGGAUUUAGAGCCAUCCUUCCUUCUCAUGUGUAUCAAAAAGGUUUUGACAUCUCCACAAGUUGAACAAUCAUAUGUACUGCAUGUACCAUGAUCUAACUCAACAUUAAUUUUAAUUAACUUUAAUCUAAUUCAUACUCAGAUUAAAAAGGCGGUCCAGAGACUUCCGCCAAUUUAGGGUCUAGGAAUGAUCGGAUGUAUGCUGUCUUGCCUUCCGCAUAUAGGUAAGCUAUUUUUUUUCCUCUCUAUACAAACUCUGGUACUCAUCAUGAAAGUUGAACCUAGCUAGACCGGCCCAACCCAAACUGAAAUCAUAAUAAAGGGAUUUAUUGAAUCCAAUCUUGGCAAAUCCGGCGCCUUCAGGAUCGAUUCCAAGGCAGCAGUUUGCAUCGAUGCCGACUCUGAAAAAAAAAAGUUAUUUAAAUCGCGUGAACAACUCAUUAGUUUUUAAUAACGAUAUAAUCCAUCAAUAACCUAUAAUUAUCGACGUUAUUACCAGUGAUGAAGUAAUAAACUGUCGACAGAAGGGUAAGCAAGAUGGGGUUGGUUUCUGUGGCCGCUGCCGCCGGCCCCUGACAACCAAGUCCAG
rnacentral:lncRNA from 1 species